UACAGAGGGGGCAAGCGUUGUUCGGAAUUACUGGGCGUAAAGCGCACGUAGGCGGCUUUGUAAGUUAGAGGUGAAAGCCCGGGGCUCAACUCCGGAAUUGCCUUUAAGACUGCAUCGCUAGAAUUGUGGAGAGGUAAGUGGAAUUCCGAGUGUAGAGGUGAAAUUCGUAGAUAUUCGGAAGAACACCAGUGGCGAAGGCGACUUCCUGGCCUGUUCUUGACGCUGAGGCGCGAAAGCUAGGGGAGCAAACGGG
rnacentral:rRNA from 1 species